rnacentral:lncRNA from 1 species
CUGCCACUUUCCACCCACUGGUUUGAGUUAAGUGUGUCCCUGCCUGAUUGGUCAGUCACUAGGUGGUCUCCGAGCAUAUCCCGGCCUAAUGAUAUGAGAAGAUGCUGGCGUGUCGACGGGAGAAGGGCAUUUUGCCUGCUUAUGUCCACUCAAGGACAAAGCCCCCACAGUAGAAAAGGCAGGAGUUAAGAAACAAGAGUGAUAGAUUGGGUCCACUCUCCUGCAGGAGUUACAACACAAAUGACUGCCGGCCCUGACCCUGCCAGGCUACCUGGUCCAGGGGAUGGCCAUCUGCACACUUGAACCUUGAACCAGCAGUUCUGGCCACUUCUAAGAAACCUACAAAAUAGACCAAAGUCUAAGUGAUCUUUAGGGCUACCUUU